UUAAUAGCUUCAAUAGACUAUUUUCAAUAAAGACAAGCUCAUAAAAGCAGCAGUUAAAAUGUUGACAAUAAGUCAAGUUCUUAUAGCUUUGGUUGUAUUUCUUCUAACUAUGCAGUUUUUAAAAUUGCAACGAGCACGGAGACGACUUCCUCCUGGACCAAUCCCUCUCCCAAUUCUUGGAACCUUCCUACAGCUGAACUUUCAGUUUAAUUGUGAUCUCCUCAUGAAGCUGGCAAAAAUUCAUGGCAACGUGUUCACCUUAUGGUUUGGAUGGGCCCCAGUGAUCAUACUGAAUGGAUUUCAAGCAGUUAAGGAUGGUAUGACUACACACCCUGAAGAUAUUUCUGGGAGACUAGUGUCUCCUUUCUUCAGAGCAAUGGCCAAAGGAAAAGGGAUUAUGUUGGCAACUGGUCACACCUGGAAGCAGCAGAGAAGGUUUGCACUGAGGACUCUACGCAACUUGGGUCUGGGGAAGAGAGGCCUUGAGCAUCGAGUUCAAGAAGAGGCCUGCUACCUGGUAGAAUACUUUGCAAGUAUGAAAGAAAAACCUUUGGAUCCUUCUUUCCCUCUCUUUCAUUCCGUCUCAAAUGUAAUUUGUGCUGUCGUUUUUGGCCAUCGCUUCUCCAGUGAGGAUGAAACCUUCCAUGAGCUGAUUAAAGCCACAGAGUGUAUAUUCAAAUUUGGAGGCAGCUUUAUUCAUUACCUGUACGAAAUUUUCCCCUGGCUGAUGCAUCAUCUCCCUGGUCCUCAUAAGAAGGCAUUGUCCAGCUAUGAUGCCCUCAGCUCUUUUGCAAGGAGGGAGAUCAGAAGGCAUAAGGAGAGAGGGGUACGAGACGAACCGCAAGACUUCAUUGACUUUUACCUGGCUCAUAUUGAAAAAUCCAAAGAUGAACCCAGGUCUACAUAUGAUGAUGACAAUCUGGUUUAUUCUAUAAAUGACCUUUUCUUGGGUGGAUCAGAGACAAGUAGUACUACUUUGAACUGGGGACUGCUCUAUAUGGUGGCAAAUCCAGACAUUCAAGAGAAAGUGCAGGAGGAGCUGGAUGCUGUUUUAGGUCCUUCCCAGUUAAUUUGCUACGAGGAUCGAAGAAGACUGCCCUAUACAAAUGCUGUGGUUCAUGAAGUCCAGCGCUUCAGCAACAUUAUCUCAGUUGGCAUGCCUAGAGUAUGUGUGAGGAACACAACAUUGCUGGGCUUUCCCCUCAAAAAGGGCAGCAUUGUUCUUCCAAAUAUUGCUUCCUCUUUGUAUGAUCCAGAGCAGUGGGAAACACCUCGACAGUUCAACCCUGGUCAUUUCUUGGAUAAGGAUGGAAACUUUGUGAGCCAAGAAGCCUUUUUACCAUUCUCAAUAGAUGCUGAGGGAGAGGAUAGCCCAGCACACGAGGUGUGGCAGCAGGACAUCAGCAGAGGCUCACGGCAGGGAGAUGCAGGACCCAGGUGUUACCCUGGGAGCAGCCACGAGCUACCAGGGUGCAGCAGGGUACUUAGAACACUAUCAACCUCAGAGCAACUGGCAAUUAUCUAUGAGAACCUGUGGAGAAUGGGAAAAGGUCAGACUACUUCUUUUGAAGGCCUGUCUUCAAAAGCAGUGCAUCCUCCAGUGAACCAGGCAGAGGGCAACAAAGAUCCCUGAAAGGGCUGUUGUCUGCACUGCAAGUGUUGCUCUGUGUCUGACAGAAGAAGACUAAGACAGAGCUCACCCAAAUAACUCUCUCUGAACAACACCAUCAUUUGAUCAAAGAAAGCCCUCUCCUCCUUGAAUCUGAAUGGCAGAAGAUGUCUCCACAACUCAGCCCAAAGUGUGCAAUGAAGGAAGAUAGAAAACUACCUUUGCGUCUUGUCUUUCUGAAAGGUACCUAUCUCCCAAGUUCACUAUCCGCAGUCAUUAUAGUGAUGAGUGUGUCAAGAGUGAAAGGCUCAUUUGCAACACUCCCCACUGGGUAAGUCAGUCACCUUCAUUUUGGAUCUAACCAGCCUAAGUAAGUCAGGACCUAUCUCAAAUGCUCUUAUCAUUUUCUGUGCUGAAAUGAUGUAGCUAUGUCAAUUCAGUGCACGGAGCUGGUGCAGUAAGCUGAGAAUGACCAUCUCUGCAGUUUAUCUAUUCUUAGCCUUGAACACGCAGACAGACUGACCAGGUCAUUUCAGACUGCUGGAUCAUGAGCUGGAGGGGGAGAAUACCAUCCUCAGAGCUGUAUUCUAGGACUGGGGCUCUUCUGAGGUCAAAACGCUUGCCUUGGAAGUGCCCACUCUUCUGCUGCAGGGUUCAUCUGCCCCUGGCAUCUCUCUAGGACGUGUUUAUAAUCCCUUGGUCAGGCAUGCUGAGGCGCGUGUGUCCUCCAACUCCUCUUCUGAUCAUUGAUUCAGUGAGACUGAGACUCAUUAAUCCUUGGCCUGUGUGUGGCUGAGGCAGGUUUGGUACCAAGACUCUUGUGCUUCAUGCAGAGCCCCAGGAUAUUGCAUCUAACUCUAGGUCUUCCCACUUUCCUUGGGGCAAGGUACCUUAUAUGUUGUGUGGCUUUACAUUUGGCUGUACGGAAGCACAGUAUUUGUGUAUUUGUAUUGAGCUGACUCUAUGUUUGCCAUCUCUGUCAAUGAUCUGCUGUCUUCAGUUGCACUGUUCUCUCAGUCUUUGUGAGAUUUACAAGCUUUAUAAAUAACAUUUUUAGUUUUUCUUAAAUUAAUGGUUUUAGGUAAUUGAAAAACAUAUUAAGGAAUGUAGAGUCAAGAACAGAUCUCUCUGAACACUUGAAAAAAACGUGGAAAUAUGGUUCCUUGCUUACCUUUCAAUUAGUCUGUGUCAUGUUCAGCUUAUUUUGUUCUAGAUGCUUAAGCAAAAAGCCCUGUAAUACCUGUAAUCUUUUCAAAUAAAGAAAUCAAAUAACUUCAAUGUGAUCUAUUUUAUGUUGGAGAUUGUUUUCUUAAAUCUGUGCAAUUUUAAGAUUGUAGAGGGAAUAGUUUUUACCAUGUAAUGCUGGGUUAUUCUUAGGGUGGAAAAUACGGGCAGUCACCUUCUGUUCUAGCUUUAACUUUGCCUCAUCCAGUUCCUUUAUCACACUUACAGUGAUACCCUAGAGGUUUUUACCUAUCAGUUUUGCUAAUUGUUGUAAUUGUAUCCUUGUUUUUGUAUUUAAUAUAACUUCUGCUGUGUUCCGCUGGCUUUUCCCUGCUCUGAUAUCAAUAAAAAUUAUUUUUAUCUGUGGUCAUUACAAGCUUUUAACA